rnacentral:rRNA from 1 species
GUUUGGCUGUUCGCCAAUUAAAGCGGUACGUGAGCUGGGUUUAGAACGUCGUGAGACAGUUCGGUCCCUAUCUUUCGUGGGCGUAGGAUAUUUGAGAGGAUCUUCCCCUAGUACGAGAGGACCGGGGUGGACAAACCUCUAGUGUACCAGUUGUCGCGCCAGCGGCAUAGCUGGGUAGCUACGUUUGGAAUGGAUAACCGCUGAAAGCAUCUAAGCGGGAAGCCAACCUCGAGAUAAGAUAUCCCUUCCCGAUGGAGACAUCGGGACUAAAGACCCCUUGGAGACUACAAGGUUGAUAGGCCAGGUGUGUAAGUACGGUAACGUAUUUAGCUAACUGGUACUAAUAGGUCGUGAGGCUUGGCCAUAAACUU